CGCUAGCAAUAGCAGCGGUGAGUGGAUGAAACAGGUCAACCGAGUGAUAGCACACGACCUCGUGUCGGUGCAAGCCCGCAAGAGCUUCUGCCCUAUCAGCUUUUGACGGUAGUGUAGUGGACUACCGUGGCUGUAACGGGUAACGGGGAAUUAGGGUUCGAUUCCGGAGAGGGAGCCUGAGAAACGGCUACCACAUCUAAGGAUGGCAGCAGGCGCGCAAAUUGCCCAAUAGCAACACUGCUGAGGCAGCGAAGAGAAAUAGCAACUUCUCGUACUUUGUACGAAGGAGAUUGCAAUGGAUGAUAUCUAAACCUGUCAAUGAGUAUCAAUUGGUGGACAAGUCUGGUGCCAGCACCCGCGGUAAUUCCAGCACCAAUAGCGUAUAUUAAUGCUGCUGCUGUUAAAAAGCUCGUAGUUGGAUCCAGAGUACAGGUUGCAAGGCGGCUCAGUUUGGGUAAACCGGCGUACUGCCGGGAUGCACAGGUUGGGGUAAACCCCUUGCACCAAGACCUGUCCUCUAUGAACGGUGGUAAUGGUGCCUUGCAAGUAGCCAUUUCGGUGGUGAAAGCGCCAACGUGUUAACCAUACGCAUACGGGUCGACCACCGAUGUUACUGUGAACAAACCAGCGUGCCCAAAGCAGGCGUCCGCCGUGAAUGAUAAAGCAUGGAAUAACAAGGGAUCGAUUCUCUCGGCUCUUUUUGUUGGUUCUUAACCCGAGAAGGAAUAAUCAAAACGAUGUUCUUAGCAGGUCUCUUCGGAGUCUUGUUUAAGUCAUCGCUACACGGGAUCAAUAGGGACUGCCGGGGUCGUACGUACUCCUACGUCAGAGGUGAAAUUCUUAGAUCGUAGGAAGACGAACUUCUGCGAAAGCAUUCGACAAGAAUGUCUUCAUUAAUCAAGAACGAGAGUGUGGGGAUCGAAGAUGAUCAGAUACCGUCGUAGUCCACUACUGUAAACGAUGCCGUCUCAGGAUCGAGGGAUGCUCAACCAUGACUCCCACGGCACUACCCCGAAACGAGAAAUCAAAGAUUAUGGGUUCAGGGGGGAGUACAUUCGCAAGGCUGAAACUUAAAGGAAUUGACGGAAUGACACCACCAGGCGUGGAGUAUGCGGCUUAAUUUGACAACACGGGGAAUUUUACUAGGUCAGGACAAUGUAAGGAUUGACAGAUUGAGAGCUCUUUCUCGAUCCAUUGUGUGGUGGUGCAUGGCCGCUCCUGGUUGGUGGAGUGAUUUGUCUGGUUGAUUCCGUUAACGAACGAGAUCUCGACCCUUAAAUAGGUGGCUUGUCGCUUAGACUUUUUCUUCGGAAUUAGUCGAGACGAGCAACUACUUCUUAAGGGGACUGCGUGCGACUAUAGCACGCGGAAGAGCGAGCCAAUAGCAGGUCUGUGAUGCUCCUAAAUGUCCUAGGCUGCACGCGCACUACACUGACGC
rnacentral:rRNA from 1 species